rnacentral:rRNA from 1 species
UUUAUGGAGAGUUUGAUCCUGGCUCAGGAUGAACGCUGGCGGCGUGCCUAAUACAUGCAAGUCGAGCGAACGGACGAGAAGCUUGCUUCUCUGAUGUUAGCGGCGGACGGGUGAGUAACACGUGGAUAACCUACCUAUAAGACUGGGAUAACUUCGGGAAACCGGAGCUAAUACCGGAUAAUAUUUUGAACCGCAUGGUUCAAAAGUGAAAGACGGUCUUGCUGUCACUUAUAGAUGGAUCC